GAGAGCCGGAUGCGGUGGAAGUCGCACGUCCGGUUCGGAGGGCGGGCCGGGGAAACUCACCAGCCGAAA
rnacentral:ncRNA from 1 species